rnacentral:rRNA from 1 species
GAUGAACGCUGGCGGCGUGCCUAAUACAUGCAAGUCGAGCGAACAGACGAGGAGCUUGCUCCUUUGACGUUAGCGGCGGACGGGUGAGUAACACGUAGGUAACCUACCUAUAAGACUGGGAUAACUUCGGGAAACCGGAGCUAAUACCGGAUAAUAUUUCGAACCGCAUGGUUCGAUAGUGAAAGAUGGCUUUGCUAUCACUUAUAGAUGGAUCUGCGCUGUAUUAGCUAGUUGGUAAGGUAACGGCUUACCAAGGCAACGAUACGUAGCCGACCUGAGAAGGUGAUCGGCCACACUGGAACUGAGACACGGUCCAGACUCCUACGGGAGGCAGCAGUAGGGAAUCUUCCGCAAUGGGCGAAAGCCUGACGGAGCAACGCCGCGUGAGUGAUGAAGGUCUUCGGAUCGUAAAACUCUGUUAUUAGGGAAGAACAAACGUGUAAGUAACUGUGCACGUCUUGACGGUACCUAAUCAGAAAGCCACGGCUAACUACGUG